UACGUAGGGUGCAAGCGUUAAUCGGAAUUACUGGGCGUAAAGCGUGCGCAGGCGGUUAUGCAAGACAGAUGUGAAAUCCCCGGGCUCAACUUGGGAACUGCAUUUGUGACCGCAUCGCUGGAGUGCGGCAGAGGGGGAUGGAAUUCCGCGUGUAGCAGUGAAAUGCGUAGAUAUGCGGAGGAACACCGAUGGCGAAGGCAAUCCCCUGGGCCUGCACUGACGCUCAUGCACGAAAGCGUGGGGAGCAAACAGG
rnacentral:rRNA from 1 species